GAGCUGCCUGUUGUAUAAGAGGAUAGCACACACCAUUAUGAACAAUGGCAACAGUGCUCAAAGGGAAGGAAGAUAAUUAAAAUGGAAGACAGAGCCAUCAAAAACCAUGUGGAGGAAAGUCACUACAUGAGCCUAGACUGAAAGAAUGUACACAGGCAGAUAUAAAUGCCUAUUUCAUUUAACGUAUUUUGCUUAGGAUCUCCUUGUUAUAAAACCUUGGCUUUUGGUCAAAUAACACAGACCAGUAAGAAAUGAGGUUGGAAGAUGGGAAUAUUUAGGAGCAGUAGGAAUGGCUCUCCUGACACCAGUUCUUGAACUAUAAAUGUGUUUGGAUUCCCAGAGGUUUUUACACUCUACUAACAUUUAUGAUUUGUGAGAGAUACCCGUUCCCUGAGGGGCAUGCAUCAUGCACAGGAAAACCACAGGAUCUGCGAAAUGCAAGAUGACCCAACUUCCAACAGUGUUAAUCAAUGGAGUAGUCAUGAAUUACUAUGUACUCAAUUAAACUUUGUUGCAAAAA
ensembl:lncRNA novel transcript